rnacentral:rRNA from 1 species
AGCGAACGCUGGCGGCAGGCCUAACACAUGCAAGUCGAACGAACUCUUCGGAGUUAGUGGCGGACGGGUGAGUAACACGUGGGAACGUGCCUUUGGUUCGGAAUAACCCAGGGAAACUUGUGCUAAUACCGAAUGUGCCCUUCGGGGGAAAGAUUUAUCGCCAUUAGAGCGGCCCGCGUCUGAUUAGCUAGUUGGUGAGGUAACGGCUCACCAAGGCGACGAUCAGUAGCUGGUCUGAGAGGAUGACCAGCCACACUGGGACUGAGACACGGCCCAGACUCCUACGGGAGGCAGCAGUGGGGAAUCUUGCGCAAUGGGCGAAAGCCUGACGCAGCCAUGCCGCGUGAAUGAUGAAGGUCUUAGGAUUGUAAAAUUCUUUCACCGGGGACGAUAAUGACGGUACCCGGAGAAGAAGCCCCGGCUAACUUCGUG